rnacentral:rRNA from 1 species
AGUCGAGCGAGCGGAACUAACAGAUUUACUUCGGUAAUGACGUUAGGAAAGCGAGCGGCGGAUGGGUGAGUAACACGUGGGGAACCUGCCCCAUAGUCUGGGAUACCACUUGGAAACAGGUGCUAAUACCGGAUAAGAAAGCAGAUCGCAUGAUCAGCUUUUAAAAGGCGGCGUAAGCUGUCGCUAUGGGAUGGCCCCGCGGUGCAUUAGCUAGUUGGUAAGGUAAAGGCUUACCAAGGCGAUGAUGCAUAGCCGAGUUGAGAGACUGAUCGGCCACAUUGGGACUGAGACACGGCCCAAACUCCUACGGGAGGCAGCAGUAGGGAAUCUUCCACAAUGGACGCAAGUCUGAUGGAGCAACGCCGCGUGAGUGAAGAAGGUUUUCGGAUCGUAAAGCUCUGUUGUUGGUGAAGAAGGAUAGAGGUAGUAACUGGCCUUUAUUUGACGGUAAUCAACCAGAAAGUCACGCCUAACUACGUGCCAGCAGCCGCGGUAAUACGUAGGUGGCAAGCGUUGUCCGGAUUUAUUGGGCGUAAAGCGAGCGCAGGCGGAAGAAUAAGUCUGAUGUGAAAGCCCUCGGCUUAACCGAGGAACUGCAUCGGAAACUGUUUUUCUUGAGUGCAGAAGAGGAGAGUGGAACUCCAUGUGUAGCGGUGGAAUGCGUAGAUAUAUGGAAGAACACCAGUGGCGAAGGCGGCUCUCUGGUCUGCAACUGACGCUGAGGCUCGAAAGCAUGGGUAGCGAACAGGAUUAGAUACCCUGGUAGUCCAUGCCGUANACGAUGAGUGCUAAGUGUUGGGAGGUUUCCGCCUCUCAGUGCUGCAGCUAACGCAUUAAGCACUCCG